GUACUCAUUUUGGCAGCAUAUACUAAAAUUGGAAAAAUACAAAGAAGAUUAGUAUGGACCAUGAACAAAGAUGACACGUAACUUUGCGAACCAUUCCAUAUUUUUU
rnacentral:snRNA from 1 species